rnacentral:rRNA from 1 species
CCUACGGGUGGCAGCAGUGAGGAAUAUUGGUCAAUGGCCGGAAGGCUGAACCAGCCAUGCCGCGUGAAGGUCAGUGCCCUAUGGGCGUUAAACUUCUUUUGUGCGGGAGCAAUAAUGGUAACGUGUGGCAAGACGAGAGUACCGUACGAAUAAGCAUCGGCUAACUCCGUGCCAGCAGCCGCGGAAAUACGGGGGAUGCAAGCCUUAUACGGCUUUAAUUGGUUUAAAGGGUGCGUAGGCUGUGAGGUAAGUCAGCGGUUGAAUGCACCCGCUCAACGGGGUGAAGUGCAAUUGCUACUGUCUUGCUGGAAUGCGGAUGCCGUGGGAGGAAUGUGUGGUGUAGCGGUGAAAUGCAUAGAUAUCACACAGAACAC